GACAGAGGUCCCGAGCGUUAGGCGGAAUCACUGGGCGUAAAGCGCACGUAGGCGGAUUGUUAAGUCAGGGGUGAAAUCCUGGAGCUCAACUCCAGAACUGCCUUUGAUACUGGCGAUCUCGAGUCCGGGAGAGGUGAGUGGAACUGCGAGUGUAGAGGUGAAAUUCGCAGAUAUUCGCAAGAACACCAGUGGCGAAGGCGGCUCACUGGCCCGAUACUGACGCUGAGGUGCGAAAGCGUGGGGAGCAAACAGG
rnacentral:rRNA from 1 species